CCCAAAUCUUUCAAUUGUCACUGAAUUUCUUCCCAGGCUGAGUGGAUGGCCCCAGAAGUGCUAAGAAAUGAACCUGCAAAUGAAAAAUGUGACAUUUGUAGCUUUGGGGUCAUACUGAAGGAUGUCUAUACGUUGCAAAAGAUCCAAUUUAAC